AAGAGAGUGGCCUGGGCAAAUAGUUUUUUGUCUAUCCCAAACUUUCUGGACAAUGCAAGUACAGAUGGCUAUUAGAAAUGGUCAAGGGCACUAGAGGAUUUUCUGGAACAGAAUAAUAGGUUGAGGACGUUGCCACCUUGGUGCGAGGAAAGCUGUCUAAGCAGAAUCGAGUGACUGCAGGAGCACUUGUUGUGCUUGAUGUUCAUGCUAGGAAUGUUCUUGCAUCUCCAGUAAGCAAAAAAGUCAAAGAUGAGAGUGACUUUGAAUGGUUAAGUCAGCUUAGGUGCUACUGGGAGUUGAGUGAUACCUCUCAAUCCUAUUAGAAGAGUGACAAAAAUGUUGCAUCCAAAAAGCUGAAGUUGAAUCAAGAUGAAGGAAAAUUAAAGAUUGCUAUUGGUCUGAGAAAGAAAGAAGCAGACCUCAGGGAGGUUCAAGAUAAAUUGCUGUACUCCACCAGACAUGGGAAUCCGAGAAGGAAAGAGAAGACUGACUUGGAAAUCAGGUAUAUGAUACAAAAGGUGAACUAUUGUUCUACUGAUACCCAGAAAAGUUAUUUAAAAUUUGUUUCUCUGUCAAAUGGUAUUUUCCCUUUUAAUUGCCAAUAUGUGGAACAAGUCCUACUUUUAGCUAACCAUCAUUUUAUUUUGGUGUAAUGGUCCUAAACUUAUAAGUGGGCAAAGCAUGAAAAAUAAAUUCUUUAGAGUAAUAGAAAAUAUAUAUGUUAUUAAUUUACCAACUGAUAUCCCUCUCCUACAUCCUCACUCAUAUCUGUUUUCUUGUGGGGAGAUAAAUUUUCAAUGAUUUUACUAAAUGUUUGGAUUCAUCUAUUAACUCGUAAGUUAGCACGUUAUAAGUUUUUAAAGUUUAUUUAUGCCUUCUGUGCUAAUGCAAUUCUGAGACUGUUUUUGGUAAGCCCUAUUCCUAACUGGUAAUUAGGUGCUUAUGUGUGCAAAAAUUGGCAACAUUUGGAAGAAAAUUUUAUUUUAUUUAUUUAUUUAUUUAUUUUUAAGAUUUGCAGUACAUCAGAUUUCUU